rnacentral:rRNA from 1 species
AUACGCAGCCACAGCACCCUGAGUGCCCCGUCUCAUGUGACCUGGGAAGCUAAGCAGGGUCGGCCCCAGUCAGCGCUUGGAUGGGAGACCAGCUCUGGAGCUGGAGGAGACUGAGGGGU